CAGGCGUCGACGGGUAGCCGGCCUGAGAGGGUGGACGGCCACAUUGGGACUGAGACACGGCCCAGACUCCUACGGGAGGCAGCAGUGGGGAAUAUUGCACAAUGGGCGCAAGCCUGAUGCAGCGACGCCGCGUGGGGGAUGAAGGCCUUCGGGUUGUAAACUCCUUUCAACCAUGACGAAGCAUUAUGUGACGGUAGUGGUAGAAGAAGCACCGGCUAACUACGUGCCAGCAGCCGCGGUAAUACAAA
rnacentral:rRNA from 1 species